CACUGGGAUCUCUUUCAAAGUUGCCAACACUCCUGUUUUCCGCACACCACCACCUGCAGGAAGGCUAUGCAGAGGUCUGAGGGCAAGUGGGAAGUUCAGGAAUAAGGUCUACUGGAGAUCUACCACUGACCCUGAGCUUGAGCCACAUAUGUGGGCCCAUGUGCUGGCUCUUAACUCCCAACUGUAGUGUCACUCCCUGUUUACAGCACCCAAAGGCAGUGAUGUGGCAACACCCAUCUUUUAGCUCCCAUGCCUCCAGCUCCAGCCACUGGCACCCAAGUAUUCAGUCCUUCCACAGGCUCCACAUCAUGUGUAGGCAGUCCCCAGGGCUGGCCAUCCACCUCCUUCCAGGGUUCACCAGCAAGCACUUCUAGUCCAUGCCCUCUCUUGCCCCCGUUGAUGUAACAAGGUCAGCCUGCCUUGGAGCAGUCUUAUGCCAAGCUAAACAAGGAACAGAGGGUUAGACAUCCCCUGUCUGGAUGGGACUUGAGGGCAGAGCCUGUCACUCAUUUCUAUUAAGAAGAGAAUAUUUCUGAGUGCCCACAUGUGUAUGUAACUUGUCUGGCAGAAGAUGUUCUAUGAAGGGAUAUUGGCUCUCCAUUUCCCCACUGCAGAUCAGGACAUUCUCAAUGCCUUGUCAGGCUGAGUUUUCAUGGUUGGGAUGGGGUUAGGAUGGUCCUACAGCUUCUAAAAGCACAGGGAUAAGUCCCACUAAAACAUUCAGGUGCAGAACAUGGCCCAAAGUAGGCCAUUAGUAAGUGGCCUCCCCUCAUUUCCUCUCCCUCCUCCACAAUAAUGAAACAGCCCAACAUACAUGCUGUUACCUAUCAGAAGAGCAAGAAAAGAUACCAUUUAUAUGAAAAGAAUUGUGCAAAAAGGGUCUUUUGCUCCUUAGAAACAGAAUAUUUUGUUGUUGUUACUAGCUUGUAAUUUUAUUUCACUUACUUUUCUAAAAGGAAUUAAGUUUUUAUUCCAUUAAGUUUUUUUCAUUCCAAUAGUGGUUUAAAAUUAAGUCUUGCAGUAAUGAGUCAGGAACACUAGAUGUCAGGAGAGAACCAGCUAAACCCAAUGUUUAAUGUUUAUUAAUCUCUUAGAAUUUAGAGGCUGUCAGAAACUUAAAGAACAUCUAAUAGUAUAAUCAUUAUAUUUACUUAAAUACUAAUGGUUUAUUGAAUUAUGUUGUGGAUCAUUAAAAAAUACUAAUGGUUGUAUAAACAGAUUUACACCUAAUACUAGAUGCUUUCUAUUCUGAUCUAUGAGGAGGCCCUAAAAGACUUGAUU